rnacentral:ncRNA from 2 species
AGUUUUCUUCGGGGCAGGGUGAAAUUCCCGACCGACGGUGUUGUUGUCUCGUUGAUUGUUACUUGCUUUUAUUUCUCGCUGAUGUUUCGCUAUGUCUGUGAGGAGAAGCAAUUACUAAUCAACUUUAUUUGAAAAAUGAGAGAGCUAAGUCCGUGAGCGCAAGCUGAUCUGGUGUGAUUCCAGAGCCGACAGUAUAGUCUGGAUGGGAGAAGAAUUGA